GCUCGCCCCUCCGACCGAACCCGCCUCCACCUUCCGCCCUACAAGAGCACCACCGCCCCCGUCGCUUGCUCCCGCAUCAAUCGAUCCGACCAAAAUCCAGCUCAAAUCCCUCGCCGCCUCGCCGUGCGCCGGCUGGUGCCCGCUGGCCCGCCUCGUUCCUCUCGGUUUCGGAUCGGAGAGAUCGAUUUCCAUGGCCCUGCCUUGUACAGUGGCUAGCUGCCGCUUGCUGUCGCAUCUGUGCAGCUGGUGCAUGUUCCCCCCUCCCAAAUCGUAGUCGCCAAUGGCUCACAAUUUGCCCAUAUCAUUGCUCAGCCACCGCUCCCGUAUCAUCUGAUGGCUUGCUUUGGCCUUGAUUGAUUUUGGCGUCUACCCCGUCUAGGGUUUCAAGCUCAAGCUCCUCCGGGUCGGCGUUUCAGUUCUGCAAGUGGAGGCGGCAAGCUAGAGACAGCAACUGCAUAAUUUGCAAGAAAAUCGUUUUCGGGCCAUACCGAUGAUUUUCUUGCAAGUUGUGCAGUUGUUGUCUCAAGCUUGCUGCCUCCCUUUGCCAGAACUAUGGAAUUCGAACUUACAAUGAGCUCGGGAGCCAAAAUGCCUCACUCGAUUCACUUUAUGGAGGGAGUAAAACUUUCAGAACAUGGGCGCAGGAGGUUAGGAUUCUGAUAAGAGCUGUACGCACAAGAGCUCUUUCCAAAUGGUUUCCUACAGGAGCAUUCCUACCACAUUUGUUGUUUCUUCUUGGGCCAACAUUUGCAUGGUCUUGCGACCUAUAAUCAUUGAGGUUAUUCUGUAACUGCAGAAUUUAGCAAAGUAUUUGAGCCUUCUUGUAGAAGGGACGACGACCUAUCUUAAGUGGGAAAAUACACUUGUGUUGGUUGAUACUAUUCUAGUUGAGCUUUGAUGUUUAGUUCUGUAGCUGUUCUGAUGGGCCAUUUGAAUGUAAAACAAACGGCGCUGCAGACAGCGCAAUCUUAGGUUCACCUCAAAUAAGCUUCAAGAGUCAGAGUAAAUUGCAGUUCAGCUUGAUGCUCAUGAACUGUAAGGCCAUUUUGGUCAGCUUGGAUUCAGUUAGUAGUGUUUAUAUCUGUCACGAGUUCUAAUC
rnacentral:precursor_RNA from 1 species